rnacentral:rRNA from 1 species
AUUGAACGCUGGCGGCAGGCCUAACACAUGCAAGUCUAACGGUAACAGAAAGCAGCUUGCUGCUUUGCUGACGAGUGGCGGACGGGUGAGUAAUGUCUGGGAAACUGCCUGAUGGAGGGGGAUAACUACUGGAAACGGUAGCUAAUACCGCAUAACGUCGCAAGACCAAAGAGGGGGACCUUCGGGCCUCUUGCCAUCGGAUGUGCCCAGAUGGGAUUAGCUAGUAGGUGGGGUAAAGGCUCACCUAGGCGACGAUCCCUAGCUGGUCUGAGAGGAUGACCCGCCACCCUGGAACUGAGACCCGGUCCAGACUCCUACGGGAGGCAGCAGUGGGGAAUAUUGCACAAUGGGCGCAAGCCUGAUGCAGCCAUGCCGCGUGUAUGAAGAAGGCCUGCGGGUUGUAAAGUACUUUCAGCGGGGAGGAAGGGAGUAAAGUUAAUACCUUUGCUCAUUGACGUUACCCGCAGAAGAAGCACCGGCUAACUCCGU